AUAACGAUACGGGACUCAUCCGAGGCCCCGUAAUCGGAAUGAGUACACUUUAAAUCCUUUAAUGAGGAUCCAUUGGAGGGCAAGUCUGGUGCCAGCAGCCGCGGUAAUUCCAGCUCCAAUAGCGUAUAUUAAAGUUGUUGCGGUUAAAAAGCUCGUAGUUGAAUCUGUGUGCCACGCUGUCGGUUCAUCGCUCGCGAUGUUUAACUGACAUGAUUGUGGGACGUCCUACCGGUGGACUUAGCCUUUCGGGGCGGUCCAGCUAAUAUCCCAUCGCGGUGCUCUUCAUCGAGUGUCGAGGUGGGCCGGUACGUUUACUUUGAACAAAUUAGAGUGCUCAAAGCAGGCUAUGCUCGCCUGAAUACUGUGUGCAUGGAAUAAUGGAAUAGGACCUCGGUUCUAUUUUGUUGGUUUUCGGAACCCCGAGGUAAUGAUUAAUAGGGACAGAUGGGGGCAUUCGUAUUGCGACGUUAGAGGUGAAAUUCUUGGAUCGUCGCAAGACGGACAGAAGCGAAAGCAUUUGCCAAAAAUGUUUUCAUUAAUCAAGAACGAAAGUUAGAGGUUCGAAGGCGAUCAGAUACCGCCCUAGUUCUAACCAUAAACGAUGCCAGCUAGCGAUCCGCCGAUGUUCCUAUGAUGACUCGGCGGGCAGCUUCCGGGAAACCAAAGCUUUUGGGUUCCGGGGGAAGUAUGGUUGCAAAGCUGAAACUUAAAGGAAUUGACGGAAGGGCACCACCAGGAGUGGAGCCUGCGGCUUAUUUGACUCAACAC
rnacentral:rRNA from 1 species